rnacentral:rRNA from 1 species
GACGAACCGUGCGAACGUUGUUCGGAUUCACUGGGCUUAAAGGGCGCGUAGGCGGUCGACCAAGUCUGGGGUGAAAUCUUUCGGCUUAAACCGGAAAAGUGCCCCCGAUACUGGCCGGCUAGAGGGAGAUAGGGGCAUGUGGAACUUCCGGUGGAGCGGUGAAAUGCGUAGAUAUCGGAAGGAACGCCGGUGGCGAAAGCGACGUGCUGGAUCUCUUCUGACGCUGAGGCGCGAAAGCCAGGGGAGCAAACGGG